CAGUCAUAUGACGUUCAAACACUAGUUCUCGUACGACCACCAAAGUUAAGCAACGUCCAACCUGGUCAGUACCUAGAUAGGUGACCGCUUGGGAAUACCAGGU
rnacentral:rRNA from 1 species